rnacentral:rRNA from 1 species
AACGAACGCUGGCGGCAGGCCUAACACAUGCAAGUCGAGCGAGGACUUCGGUUCUAGCGGCGGACGGGGGAGUAACGCGUGGGAAUGUGCCCUUCUCUACGGAAUAGCCCUGGGAAACUGGGAGUAAUACCGUAUACGCCCUAUUGGGGAAAGAUUUAUCGGAGAAGGAUCAGCCCGCGUUGGAUUAGGUAGUUGGUGGGGUAAUGGCCUACCAAGCCGACGAUCCAUAGCUGGUUUGAGAGGAUGAUCAGCCACACUGGGACUGAGACACGGCCCAGACUCCUACGGGAAGGAGCAGUGGGGAAUCUUAGACAAUGGGGGCAACCCUGAUCUAGCCAUGCCGCGUGAGUGAUGAAGGCCUUAGGGUUGUAAAGCUCUUUCAGCUGGGAAGAUAAUGACGGUGCCAGCAGAAGAAGCACCGGCUAACUACGUG